rnacentral:rRNA from 1 species
CCUACGGGGCGCAGCAGUGAGGAAUAUUGGUCAAUGGGCGGGAGCCUGAACCAGCCAAGCCGCGUGAGGGAAGACGGUUUUCGGAUUGUAAACCUCUGUCUUUAGGGACGAAACAAAUGACGGUACCUAAAGAGGAAGCCACGGCUAACUACGUGCCAGCAGCCGCGGUAAUACGUAGGUGGCAAGCGUUGUCCGGAAUUACUGGGUGUAAAGGGAGCGUAGGCGGGAAUGCAAGUUGAAUGUUUAAACUAUGGGCUCAACCCAUAGUCGCGUUCAAAACUGCAUUUCUUGAGUGGAGUAGAGGG